rnacentral:sRNA from 1 species
GUUGGGCGUGGUGGCGCACACCUGUAAUCCCAACAGCGUGGGAAGCUGAGGCAGGAGGAUAGUGAGUUCAAAGCCAGCCUCAGCAAAAGCCAAGUGCUAAGCAACUCAGUGAGACCCUGUCUCUG